rnacentral:rRNA from 1 species
CUUGCUCCUCUGACGUUAGCGGCGGACGGGUGAGUAACACGUGGAUAACCUACCUAUAAGACUGGGAUAACUUCGGGAAACCGGAGCUAAUACCGGAUAAUAUAUUGAACCGCAUGGUUCAAUAGUGAAAGACGGUUUUGCUGUCACUUAUAGAUGGAUCCGCGCCGCAUUAGCUAGUUGGUAAGGUAACGGCUUACCAAGGCAACGAUGCGUAGCCGACCUGAGAGGGUGAUCGGCCACACUGGAACUGAGACACGGUCCAGACUCCUACGGGAGGCAGCAGUAGGGAAUCUUCCGCAAUGGGCGAAAGCCUGACGGAGCAACGCCGCGUGAGUGAUGAAGGUCUUCGGAUCGUAAAACUCUGUUAUUAGGGAAGAACAAAUGUGUAAGUAACUAUGCACGUCUUGACGGUACCUAAUCAG